rnacentral:rRNA from 1 species
CCCUUAGAUGUUCUGGGCCGCACGCGCGCUACACUGACUGCUCCAACAAGUUACCUGGGCUGACAAGCAUCCGGGAAAUCUUGCAAAGGCAGCCGUGAUGGGGAUAGAUUCUUGUAAUUUUUGAUCUUCAACGAGGAAUUCCUAGUAAACGCAAGUCAUCAGCUUGCAUUGAUUACGUCCCUGCCCUUUGUACACACCGCCCGUCGCAUCUACCGAUUGAAUGGAGAGGCAAAAUCUUCGGACCGUGACGCUUGGGAGUCAAAUCUCGGGCUGUCGUGGGAAGUGGAUUAAACCUUUCUAUUUAGAGGAAGGUAAAGUCGUAACA